UGGGGAAUUUUGCACAAUGGGGGAAACCCUGAUGCAGCGACGCUGCGUGAUUUAGAAGGCCUUCGGGUUGUAAAAAUCUUUUCUAUGGGAAGAAAAUGACAGUACCAUAGGAAUAAGGACCGGCUAAUUACGUGCCAGCAGCCGCGGUAAUACGUAAGGUCCGAGCGUUGUCCGGAAUCAUUGGGCGUAAAGGGUACGUAGGCGGGUAAGCAAGUUAGAAGUGAAAUCCUAUAGCUCAACUAUAGUAAGCUUUUAAAACUGCUCAUCUUGAGGUAUGGAAGGGAAAGUGGAAUUCCUAGUGUAGCGGUGAAAUGCGCAGAAAUUAGGAGGAAUACCGGUGGCGAAGGCGACUUUCUGGCCAUAACCUGACGCUGAGGUACGAAAGCGUGGGUAGCAAACAGG
rnacentral:rRNA from 1 species